rnacentral:siRNA from 1 species
UGUUGACCGGUUAUUUCACACA